UCCGUCGGCCAACGGAUUCCAAAGGUUAUGAUUCUUUGAAUUCUUAAUCAUUUAUUCCACUAAUAACUUACUGUUAUCAACUAAACUACCUAACUAUUAGUCUAAUUCUCAAGAUUAUCAAUAAUCAAUCAAUAACUUACCACAAAUUUUAUUUACCUAUUUUACAUAGUCCCACUUCUAAUUGUACAGCGUCCUCUCAAACAUUAUUUAGCCUCAACUUAUAAAGAUGUAGCAGCAUUGGCUUCUUUAGUUAAUGGCAUUGGCUUACCACCCUUUGAAUUGGUGACUUUUUCCUCUAUACAUCUUCGUCAUCUGCCUUGGUGUUCGAUGGUUCUCCAUCCAAACAUGCCAUCAGAUCUUCAUUCAACAAAUCCAAUUUCCAUCCUUGAGACUCAAGUUGGGCAAUUUGGUUGUCACAUUCCUCUAAAAUCUUCUGCCAUUUUUUUGUCAAUUUCAAAGGUAUCUCCGAAGGUGUUGUCGUUGAAACUGGCAUAUUGUCCAUACUAAAUUAUUGGCCUCUUUUGCUAAUGCGGCUAGUUUAGUCUGCAACAUCGCAAUUUCUACCUGCAGCCGUUCUUGCAGUUCCUUCCAAUCGGUUUCC
rnacentral:lncRNA from 1 species